rnacentral:tRNA from 1 species
GGAGCCGUAGCUCAGUUGGAUAGAGCGCUGGCCUCCGAAGCCAGAGGUCGUGGGUUCGAAUCCCGCCGGCUUCACCA